rnacentral:misc_RNA from 1 species
AGACGCUGCUGCGGCAGGGGUUCGCCGUGCGCGCCGGGGUGCCGGACCUCGCGUCCGCCCAGGAGCUGGCGCGGCUCGCCUCCGCGUACCGGCUCAUUUCCCCCACCGAGGCGCGCCGACUCAACGCGGUGGAGUCCGAUUUCGAGGACCCCGAGGCGAUCGCCAAGUCCAUCGGCCCUGCAACUAAGGUGGUGGUUACAGUCGGCGCAGCUGAGAAGGGGCCCGACGGCGGUGUGGUCACCACCGACGAGGCGCUCCGAGUUGUGCAGGCUGCUGACCUUGCCGGCG